UAUUUGUUUAUGCUGUUUGUUGUAUUUGGGGAUUUUAGCUUUUGAAUGUGUAUUAUUCCUGAUUGUUCAGGUUCUAGGUUCUGAUUGUGGUGUUUUUAGGAGACGUUCUUGCUGUUUAUUGAUUUGCUGACUUUGUAUUGUUGAAUUAUUUUACUGCUUCUGUUUGAAUAAUUUUUGUUCUAUGUUGAGUGUAUUUUUGAAAUUAUUGAUUAUUGAAUUUGUUUAUGCAGUUUGUUGUAUGUGGGGGUUUUAGCUUCUGAAUGUGUAUUAUUUCUUAUUGUUAGGGUUCUAGGUUCUGAUUGUUAGAGAAGUUAUGUUUUUGAUUGUUAAGGUUCUGAAUGUGUAUUAUUAAAUGCUGUAUUUGAGAUUUGUGUGCUGAUGUAGUUGCUAUAUGGAAUUGAUGCUCCUGAAAGUGUAAUGCCAUAUAGAAAGGAAGCUAAAAAUGAACCAACAAAGAUUGUUCAAGGAAAGUCUUUGAGGGUCCUUGUAUAUGGAGAAGAUCGCUAUGGUCGUUGUGUCGGUGAUCUCUACUAUAAUGGCAUUUUUGCAUAGGUAAUUUGGAAAUGAUGCUGAAGAAGGGUUUAGAAUGGCACUACUAAGCCUAUGACAAAAGUCCAAAACUAGAAACAUGGGAAAACAAGCAAGAGCAGAGCGAGUUGGAUUAUGGGCUUCAAAGAAUCCAGAGAACCCUGUGCCUGGAUAUAUAU